CUAAGCUAGCUAACUUAUUACAAGCAGUUCUGGAGACAAACUUGAAGAGAGUCAGCUUCAAUGAAAGACAAAAUGGAGCUUGAAGGACUUGUCAAAAACUGCACUUGGUUUCCUGGAAAAGAUGCACCCAUCUUACACAGCCCAUUAGCCACCCUACUUGCUUGCUAAAAGUUGUGGAUGAGUACUGAAUUCCCCAGUUUCUUCGAGAGUAACCUGCAAGACCAAAUAAUGGAAUAAAACAAAGGUGGAGAAGUGUCAAGAAUGAGAAAAAGAUCGGUAGAAUCAACUUCUACAGUCGGGGAAGUAAAUUUCUGUUCACAGCUAUUUCAAGGCCUUGAUGUAAGGCCAGAAUGCACAGCAUUUCUGGCAUCGCAAAGUCCAGCAAAACCAAAAAUCCAAUUGCCAUUGGAAUCGAGGAUGACCCCGACAAUGCCUCCUCUAGUAGUGAGUUUUUUUAUGAGAGCCAUCAACAUUGAGCUUGUAAUACGUAGCAAGAGGUGGAAACCAUUUGAUAUUAAUAGCAAUAAUAGGAGUGUCAGAAGUUGAAUCGCAGUCCAUGAUAGUUUUGAAUUCCAACAGUUUGGCAGUAACAAGGGAUGUAGGGAGGAGAGUGGACGUAUGUUUAUGGAC
rnacentral:lncRNA from 1 species